rnacentral:tRNA from 1 species
GGAGAGGUGUCCGAGUGGUUGAUGGUGCACGCUUGGAAAGCGUGUGUACAGCAAUGUACCGGGGGUUCGAAUCCCCCUCUCUCCG